GAUAUCAACUGAAAAAGUUAUCAACAACAAAGUUGAAUAACUCAUCAAGAUCUAAAACUUUUAUUUUGGUCAUUUCUUCAUACGACAAAGUGAUAGUAACAUUGUUUUACAAAAUUGACAUAUCUCUUAUCUAGUUUUAUAAACUAUAACACAUAUAUGUAAAAUUUAUAAAUAAUAUUACUAACAUUUCGUCAGAUGAAGAAAUAACAAAAAUAAAAGUUUUAGAUCUUGAUGAGUUAUUCAACUUUGUUGUUGAUGACUUUUUCAAUUGAAAUC
rfam:Oryza sativa (indica cultivar-group) chromosome 9, whole genome shotgun sequence.